rnacentral:rRNA from 1 species
CUGCUGCCUUCCGUAGGAGUUUGGACCGUGUCUCAGUUCCAAUGUGGGGGACCUUCCUCUCAGAACCCCUACUGAUCGUCGCCCCGGUGGGCCGUUACCCCGCCGGCAAGCUAAUCAGACGCAUCCCCAUCCUUUACCGGCCGAAGCCUUUGGUCAUGAAAAUAUGCAUCAACAUGACAACAUACGGUAUUAAUCCGCCUUUCGACGGGCUGUCCCAUAGUAAAGGGCAGGUUGGAUACGCGUUACUCACCCGUACGCCGGUCGCCAU